ensembl:lncRNA
UUUUUAACAGUGAUGUGUAGUACUUCAUGUACUUCAUGAACACAAACUUUAUCUUCACUGUUCUCAACAAAAAGUUAAUUUCUACUCAUUUUGCAGUAAAACUGGUGGUUGGUGAAAGAGGUGAGUUUUACACACAUAGAAGGUUUUGCAGACAACACCGUCACUCACAACAGGCCUGUGUGUGGCUUUCAGUUCUCAGUUUAGUGUUUCGUUUUUUCUGUCAAGCAGACUGAACGUGUCAUUUAUCACGUAUGCCUCGGUGCAGAGCACAUCAACAGGAAGUCACGUGGGGAAGCCAUGACCACACAUGUACCUCUUCUGAGGCAGUGAUAAGGUGAUUGGUUUAUUUCAUUCAGAGGAUGAUCUGAUUGGCCAGUUCUGUGUGUGGGAGUUGUGUAGUUUGUAUUUGACAGUUGUACUUCAAGACCACAAACUUUAUAUCCACUGUUCUGAACAAAAAGUUUGUUUUACUCAUUUUGGACUAAAACUGGUGGUUUGUGAAAGAGGUGAGUUUUACACACAUACUGGAUAUUUAGUCUUUAAGUCUUUUUCGGACGGUUUUAUUUUUUUAAUUAUUCAUAAGAUCACUAUAAGUCAUCAGGAGGCUUUCCUCUCUAUGACACAACAAUUGGUGUUGAAAUAAGAGUGUCCAUCUUAAAUAAAAACACACUGCUCAGGAUAAAGUAUACCAGUCAAGAAAAUUAAUCAGAUGGUUGAUGCUAUUUGAGCUCAUCAGCUGAUCAGAUAGACCCCUCCCUGAAGCAAAGUUGUCCAUUGGCCCAGGAUCAGCCAGGAGCAGUCUGUAGGCCUGAUACAUUUACAUAAGUAGUGAUAAUGUGCCCCCUGCUGGAAAUUAAAAUGCUAAAAAAAAAAGGGACCUGGACACUGGAACUGCUGGAAAAAGAGGAUACUAAAGAGAAGAGUAGACCUCAGCCACCCAAGAACGGUGAGAAAAAUGACCUUCACCACAGCUCCAACUUGCAAUAUA